GACGAACGCUGGCGGCGUGCCUAAUACAUGCAAGUAGAACGCUGAAGAGAGGAGCUUGCUCUUCUUGGAUGAGUUGCGAACGGGUGAGUAACGCGUAGGUAACCUGCCUGGUAGCGGGGGAUAACUAUUGGAAACGAUAGCUAAUACCGCAUAAUAGUAGAUGUUGCAUGACAUUUGCUUAAAAGGUGCAAUUGCAUCACUACCAGAUGGACCUGCGUUGUAUUAGCUAGUUGGUGAGGUAACGGCUCACCAAGGCAACGAUACAUAGCCGACCUGAGAGGGUGAUCGGCCACACUGGGACUGAGACACGGCCCAGACUCCUACGGGAGGCAGCAGUAGGGAAUCUUCGGCAAUGGACGGAAGUCUGACCGAGCAACGCCGCGUGAGUGAAGAAGGUUUUCGGAUCGUAAAGCUCUGUUGUAAGAGAAGAACGAUGUGUGAUGAUGUGGAAAGUUCACACUGUGAC
rnacentral:rRNA from 1 species